rnacentral:rRNA from 1 species
UGUAAGCGUAUACCAAAGUUGUUGCAGUUAAAACGCUCGUAGUCGGAAUUUGGCAGUUCCGGAUGUGUGCACGUCGUGUGCGCACUUCGCGGGGAUUGCUUUUGUGGUCUUGCGUAGGAUGAGGCACUUUUAUUAGUGAACGUCCUCACGCAACCACUUUUUACUGUGAGAAAAUCAGAGUGCUCAAAGCAGGCAUUUGCCGUGAAUGUAUUAGCAUGGAAUAAUAGAAUAGGACUUGGUUCUAUUUUGUUGGUUUGUUGGGACUGAGUAAUGAUUAAGAGGGACAGUUGGGGCAUUUGUAUUUCGGUGCUAGAGGUGAAAUUCUUAGAUUACCGAAAGACAAUCUGCUGCGAAAGCGUCUGCCAAGGAUGUUUUCAUUGA